UAUUAAAAAUUUCAUCCAUUUGUACUGUUAAAAACUAGUGUGGCUGGUAGAAUAACCAAACAGUAACACAUGGUGUGCCAUGUGUACUCAUACUGACGUACAUUGACCAAAUUUUAAUAGUAGAAUUGAUGGAAUUUUUAACA
rfam:Gossypium hirsutum cultivar TM-1 chromosome 12, whole genome shotgun sequence